rnacentral:rRNA from 1 species
GCCUAACCGUAAACAAUUAACUUACACCACACCGCCAGGGGACUACGAGCAAUGCUUAAAACCCAAAGGAUUUGACGGUGUCCCACCCCACUAGAGGAGCCUGUUCUAUAAUCGAUAAUCCCCGAUUCACCUAACCAUCCUCGCCUUCAGUCUGUAUACCUCCGUCGAAAGCUUACCAUGUGAAUGCCCGCAGUGAGCUUAAUGAUCCACCAUCAGUACGUCAGGUCAAGGUGCAACUUAAGGAAUGGUAAGUAAUGGGCUACAAUUUCUAAUCUAGAACAAACGAAAGACUAUGUGAAACCCUAGUCAUGAAGGUGGAUUUAGUAGUAAAAAGAAAGCAGAUGUUCUUUUUAACCCGGCUCUGGGACGCGUACACACCGCC